UUCCUAUCUUUCUGCCGCAUUGUCCACGUCUCACACCCAUACAAAGCGAUGCUCCAGAUGUAUAUCUUAAUUAGGCGUUUUUUUGUACUCUUAGAGAUCCUAGCCUUAAGCAAAUGUUUUUUGGCGUUGAAAGCUGUUUUCGCCAUUGCUAUCCUUGAUACUAUUUCCUCUGUACAUCUGGAGUCUUGGGAAAUAGUAUCAAGGAUAGCAAUGGCGAAAACAGCUUUCAACGCCAAAAAACAUUUGCUUAAGGCUAGGA